rnacentral:rRNA from 1 species
UACGGAGGGGCUAGCGUUGUUCGGAAUUACUGGGCGUAAAGCGCACGCAGGCGGUUCGCCAAGUUUGGAGUGACAGUUGUCGGCUCAACCGACAAAGGACUUCAAAAACUGGUGAACUUGAGGACGAGAGAGGAACAUGGAACUCCAGGUGUAGUAGUGAAAUGACGUAGAUAUCUGGAAGAACACCAAUGGCGAAGGCAAUGUUCUGGCUC